rnacentral:hammerhead_ribozyme from 1 species
GUACUACUGAUGAGCUCUAAAAAGAGCGAAACUCGAGUCUAGUGC